CCUACGGGAGGCAGCAGUGGGGAAUAUUGGACAAUGGGCGCAAGCCUGAUCCAGCAAUGCCGCGUGAGUGAUGAAGGCCUUAGGGUCGUAAAGCUCUUUUACCAGGGAUGAUAAUGACAGUACCUGGAGAAUAAGCUCCGGCUAACUCCGUGCCAGCAGCCGCGGUAAUACGGAGGGAGCUAGCGUUGUUCGGAAUUACUGGGCGUAAAGCGUACGUAGGCGGUUAUUCAAGUCAGAGGUGAAAGCCCGGGGCUCAACCCCGGAACGGCCUUUGAAACUAGGUAGCUAGAAUCUUGGAGAGGUCAGUGGAAUUCCGAGUGUAGAGGUGAAAUUCGUAGAUAUUCGGAAGAACACCAGUGGCGAAGGCGACUGACUGGACAAGUAUUGACGCUGAGGUACGAAAGCGUGGGGAGCAAACAGGAUUAGAUACCCUGGUAGUCCACGCCGUAAACGAUGAUAACUAGCUGUUCGGGCACUUGGUGCUUGAGUGGCGCAGCUACGCAUUAAGUUAUCCGUCCGUCGGGUAGGUACGGUCGGCGAAGAAGUUAAAACGUUAAAAGGUAAAGUUAGUACGGUAACGUGUAGACGUUGUCCGAACGGACGACGACGAGGGAGGAGGG
rnacentral:rRNA from 1 species